CUUAGCUCCACGCGUCAUGUCUCCCAAUUCCUCUGAUUUUAGCCUCAGCUGAUGGACAGUGCCACACAAGUUCUGAUUGACAGUUACUCACCUCAAGCAUACUCCAUACAUCUUUCUGCCAAGAACAUUCUGCAACAUUAUGAAGUCCAUGUGCCCUAUAUGCAAGUAAAGCCAGAAGUCCUGGAGUAAUACCUCCAGUAGCAGCCCCUAUUGGGAAACAGAAGCCAAAACUGAAGCUCAGAAAUGCUGUGCUUAUCAUUCAUGUUGUUCACCAAAGAGUUGUUUUAUGCGGACUUACGUCUUCAUCGUCUCCUUCACUGAGGUUGUAUGAAAAAAAUCUCUUGUUUCCCUCCAUGAAGCAUGAAUGGGCUCUUCAAUCUUAAACAAUCUGUCCAUCAGCUGAGGCUGAAAUCAGAGGAAUUGGGAGACAUGAUGCAAGGAGCUAAGGUCUCUCCCGCACUAUCUGACAUUAUAAAUAGAGCUCUGUUCUCUCUGUUCUUAUUUUGCUCUUAAGUAAAUUCUGUUGGCAAUAAUUAUGAUGUACAAUGUAAGAAGUAGUAUAUUGAAGCGAUGAGAAAAGAUGGUUUCAAUUGUUUUUUAGCCUCAUUACACUCAUCUCCAGCUUAAUUUCCAAUGGUU
rnacentral:lncRNA from 10 species